GUUAAAGAAUAGAAAAACAUAAUUAUAUCAAGAGUAAGAUUAUUUUUAUUAAGAGACAGAAAUUAGAGAGAAAAAAAAAUGUCUCAACUUCAAAGGGUUGAAGACCAAACUGAGCUCAAAUGUGAUGCAGACAAGUUUUUUGAAAUUUGGGCUCACAAACCAUUCCUUGUACCUAAAAUGUGCCCUAACAAAAUUCAAAAAGCUGAGCUGAAUGAGGGGAGUGUUGGGAUAGAGUUGGUGCUGUCAUAACAUGGAAUUAUGUCAUUGAUGAAGUCGGGGAACGAGCAAUCGUGAAGACAAAAAUUGAAGAGCUUAACGACGAAAACAGGUGUGUAAGGUACAGCCACCUUGGUGGAAAAAUUGUGGAGAAGUACUACAAAGAGACAUUAAUAUCCAAGAUUCAAUGAACUCCAAAGGAUGAGGGUUGUACUGUAACUUGGAGCUUUGAGUAUGAGAAGAUGAACGAGAAUGUUCCAGAACCUGAUAUUUACGCCAACUAUCUUCUUGGCGUUGCUAAAGAUAUCGGUGCUUCUCUUUGCAAUGCUUGAUCAAAGGCAUAUAUGCCAUUUAUCUUGACAUAAUGCAUGCACAAUUUCUUGCCAUCGUUGGCUGUAUGUUAUUAUAAGGUUUAUACAUAUAUAUCACAUGCAUAUAUGCCUGAUAAAUAAAUAAAUAACAUUGGCUUUUAUAAAUAAA